rnacentral:rRNA from 1 species
AGAGUUUGAUCCUGGCUCAGGAUGAACGCUGGCGGCGUGCUUAACACAUGCAAGUCGAACGGGAAAUAUUUCAUUGAGACUUCGGUGGAUUUGAUCUAUUUCUAGUGGCGGACGGGUGAGUAACGCGUGGGUAACCUGCCUUAUACAGGGGGAUAACAGUCAGAAAUGGCUGCUAAUACCGCAUAAGCGCACAGAGCUGCAUGGCUCAGUGUGAAAAACUCCGGUGGUAUAAGAUGGACCCGCGUUGGAUUAGCUUGUUGGUGGGGUAACGGCCCACCAAGGCGACGAUCCAUAGCCGGCCUGAGAGGGUGAACGGCCACAUUGGGACUGAGACACGGCCCAGACUCCUACGGGAGGCAGCAGUGGGGAAUAUUGCACAAUGGGGGAAACCCUGAUGCAGCGACGCCGCGUGGAGGAAGAAGGUCUUCGGAUUGUAAACUCCUGUUGUUGAGGAAGAUAAUGACGGUACUCAACAAGGAAGUGACGGCUAACUACGUGCCAGCAGCCGCGGUAAAACGUAGGUCACAAGCGUUGUCCGGAACUACUGGGUGUAAAGGGAGCGCAGGCGGGAGAACAAGUUGGAAGUGAAAUCCAUGGGCUCAACCCAUGAACUGCUUUCAAAACUGUUUUUCUUGAGUAGUGCAGAGGUAGGCGGAAUUCCUAGUGUAGCGGUGAAAUGCGUAGAUAUUAGGAGGAACACCAGUGGCGAAGGCGGCUUUCUGGACGACAACUGACGCUGAGGCGCGAAAGUGUGGGGAGCAAACAGGAUUAGAUACCCUGGUAGUCCACGCCGUAAACGAUGGAUACUAGGUGUAGGAGGUAUCGACCCCUUCUGUGCCGCAGUUAACACAAUAAGUAUCCCACCUGGGGAGUACGACCGCAAGGUUGAAACUCAAAGGAAUUGACGGGGGCCCGCACAAGCAGUGGAGUAUGUGGUUUAAUUCGAAGCAACGCGAAGAACCUUACCUGGGCUUGACAUCCCUGGAAUCGAGUAGAGAUACUUGAGUGCCUUCGGGAAUCAGGUGACAGGUGGUGCAUGGUUGUCGUCAGCUCGUGUCGUGAGAUGUUGGGUUAAGUCCCGCAACGAGCGCAACCCCUAUUGUCAGUUGCCAUCAUUAAGUUGGGCACUCUGGCGAGACUGCCGGUGACAAAUCGGAGGAAGGUGGGGACGACGUCAAAUCAUCAUGCCCCUUAUGCCCAGGGCUACACACGUACUACAAUGGCCGAUAACAAAGUGCAGCGAAACCGUGAGGUGGAGCGAAUCACAAAACUCGGUCUCAGUUCAGAUUGCAGGCUGCAACUCGCCUGCAUGAAGUUGGAAUUGCUAGUAAUCGCGGAUCAGAAUGCCGCGGUGAAUACGUUCCCGGGCCUUGCACUCACCGCCCGUCA